GGACGGCUCAGUAACACGUGGCUAACCUACCCUCGGGUGGGGGAUAACCUCGGGAAACUGAGGAUAAUACCCCAUAGGAGAAGAGGUCUGGAAUGAUCCUUCUCUGAAAACAUAUGUGCCCGAGGAUGGGGCUGCGUCUGAUUAGGUAGUUGGUGGGGUAACGGCCCACCAAGCCUACGAUCAGUACGGGCCUUGAGAGAGGCAGCCCGGAGAUGGGGACUGAGACACGGUCCCAGGCCCUACGGGGCGCAGCAGGCGCGAAACCUCCGCAAUGCACGAAAGUGCGACGGGGGGACCCCAAGUGCUUACGCACUGCGUAGGCUUUUCUAAAGUGUAAAAAGCUUUAGGAAUAAGGGCUGGGCAAGUCCGGUGCCAGCAGCCGCGGUAACACCGGCGGCCCGAGUGGUGACCACUUUUAUUGGGCCUAAAGCGUCCGUAGCCGGUCCAGUAAGUCCCUGUUUAAAUCCUACGGCUUAACCGUAGGGCUGGCAGGGAUACUGCUGGACUUGGGACCGGGAGAGGGCGAGGGUACUUCAGGGGUAGCGGUGAAAUGUGUUGAUCCCUGGAGGACCACCUAUGGCGAAGGCACUCGCCUGGAAC
rnacentral:rRNA from 1 species